AGCGAACGUUAGCGGCGGGCCUAACACAUGCAAGUCGAACGCGAAAGGUCUUCGGACUGAGUAGAGUGGCGCACGGGUGAGUAACACGUAGGUAAUCUACCCUUUGGCGGGGGAUAACGUUCCGAAAGGAGCGCUAAUACCGCAUAAGACCACGUGGUCUCCGGACCGAGUGGGAAAAGGUGGCCUCUUCUUGAAAGCUACCACCGAAGGAUGAGCCUGCGUCCCAUCAGCUAGUUGGUAAGGUAAUGGCUUACCAAGGCGAAGACGGGUAGCUGGUUUGAGAGAAUGAUCAGCCACACUGGCACUGGAACACGGGCCAGACUCCUACGGGAGGCAGCAGUGAGGAAUAUUGGGCAAUGGGGCGAAAGCCUGACCCAGCCACGCCGCGUGAGUGAUGAAGGCCCUCGGGUCGUAAAGCUCUGUGGGGAGAGAAGAAUAAAGCCUGUGAAGAAUGGGCCUUGACGGUAUCUCCUUAGCAAGCACCGGCUAACUCCGUGCCAG
rnacentral:rRNA from 1 species